rnacentral:rRNA from 1 species
CGGUAAUUCCAGCUCCAAUAGCGUAUACUAACGUUGUUGCAGUUAAAGAGCUCGUAGUUGGAUUUCUGAUCUUUGCCAAUGGUUGUGUCGCCGCGUGCGAGGCGCCUUGCGCAGAGGUCAACAUAUGUCACGAGCCAGUGUGAUCUAUUCAUUUAGGUCCACUGGGUAAUGACUCGUUUACUUUGAGAAAAUUAGAGUGUUCAAAGCAGGCAUUUGCCUUGAAUAUGUUAGCAUGGAAUAAUAGCAUAGGACUUCGGUUCUAUUUGUUGGUUGUUCGAGAACUGGAGUAAUGAUUGAUAGGGACGGUUGGGGGCAUCCGUAUUCUCAAGCGAGAGGUGAAAUUCUUGGACCUUGGGAAGACGAACAGCUGCGAAAGCGUUUGCCUAGGACGUUCUCUUUAAUCAAGAACGAAAGUUGGGGGAUCGAAGACGAUCAGAUACCGUCGUAGUCUCAACUAUAAACUAUGCCAGCUAGGGAUCGGUGGGUCUUUGUCACGAGUCCAUCGGCACCUUACGAGAAAUCAAAGCAUUUGGGUUCCGGGGGGAGUAUGGUCGCAAGGCUGAAACUUAAAGGAAUUGACGGAAGGGCACCACCAGGAGUGGAGCCUGUGGCUUAAUUUGACUCAACACGGGAAAACUUACCAGGUCCGGACAUAGUAAGGAUUGACAGAUUGAAAGCUCUUUCUCGAUUCUAUGGGUGGUGGUGCAUGGCCGUUCUUAGUUGGUGGAGUGAUUUGUCUGGUUAAUUCCGUUAACGAACGAGACCCGCGCCUGCUAAAUAGUCGGCCUCACUUCUGUGGGUGUUGUACUUCUUAGAGGGACCAUCCUGGGUAUACCGGAAGGAAGUUGCGGGCAAUAACAGGUCUGUGAUGCCCUUAGAUGUUCUGGGCUGCACACGGGCUACACUGCAAGAUACAACAAGCGUCGAUCACGCCUGACUGGAAGGUCCGGCCAAUCUUUGAAUAUCUUGCGUGAUUGGGAUAGACCAUUGCAAUUAUUGGUCUUCAACGAGGAAUUCCUAGUAAACGCGUGUCAACAACACGCAUUGAUUACGUCCCUGCCCUUUGUACACACCGCCCGUCGCUCCUACCGAUUGGAUGUUUCGAUGAGCCGUUUGGAGGACUAAGCUGAAAGCGUCAGCCGGAAGCUACGUCCGAAAUUCUGCAAAUCUGAAUAUCUAGAGGAAGGAGAAGUCGUAACAAGGUAGCCG